GUGGGGAAUAUUGCACAAUGGGCGAAAGCCUGAUGCAGCGACGCCGCGUGGGGGAUGACGGCCUUCGGGUUGUAAACCUCUUUCAGUAGGGAAGAAGCGAAAGUGACGGUACCUGCAGAAGAAGCGCCGGCUAACUACGUGCCAGCAGCCGCGGUAAUACGUAGGGCGCAAGCGUUGUCCGGAAUUAUUGGGCGUAAAGAGCUCGUAGGUGGCUUGUCGCGUCUGCCGUGAAAACCCGAGGCUCAACCUCGGGCGUGCGGUGGGUACGGGCAGGCUAGAGUGUGGUAGGGGAGACUGGAACUCCUGGUGUAGCGGUGAAAUGCGCAGAUAUCAGGAAGAACACCGAUGGCGAAGGCAGGUCUCUGGGCCAUUACUGACACUGAGGAGCGAAAGCAUGGGUAGCGAACAGG
rnacentral:rRNA from 1 species